UGCAAGUCGAGCGGACAGAUGGGAGCUUGCUCCCUGAUGUUAGCGGCGGACGGGUGAGUAACACGUGGGUAACCUGCCUGUAAGACUGGGAUAACUCCGGGAAACCGGGGCUAAUACCGGAUGGUUGUUUGAACCGCAUGGUUCAAACAUAAAAGGUGGCUUCGGCUACCACUUACAGAUGGACCCGCGGCGCAUUAGCUAGUUGGUGAGGUAACGGCUCACCAAGGCGACGAUGCGUAGCCGACCUGAGAGGGUGAUCGGCCACACUGGGACUGAGACACGGCCCAGACUCCUACGGGAGGCAGCAGUAGGGAAUCUUCCGCAAUGGACGAAAGUCUGACGGAGCAACGCCGCGUGAGUGAUGAAGGUUUUCGGAUCGUAAAGCUCUGUUGUUAGGGAAGAACAAGUGCCGUUCGAAUAGGGCGGUACCUUGACGGUACCUAACCAGAAAGCCACGGCUAACUACGUGCCAGCAGCCGCGGUAAUACGUAGGUGGCAAGCGUUGUCCGGAAUUAUUGGGCGUAAAGGGCUCGCAGGCGGUUUCUUAAGUCUGAUGUGAAAGCCCCCGGCUCAACCGGGGAGGGUCAUUGGAAACUGGGGAACUUGAGUGCAGAAGAGGAGAGUGGAAUUCCACGUGUAGCGGUGAAAUGCGUAGAGAUGUGGAGGAACACCAGUGGCGAAGGCGACUCUCUGGUCUGUAACUGACGCUGAGGAGCGAAAGCGUGGGGAGCGAACAGGAUUAGA
rnacentral:rRNA from 2 species